AAAAAAUAAAAUAGAAAUAGGAAGGCUGAUAAAACGUUAUUCUCCUUUCUUCUCGACCUGCAAAACCCUAAUUCUCCUCCAUUUUCGUCCGUUUCUUUCGACCUGCAAUUUUCAUUACAUUAGGAGCCAAAGAUGAAGUAACUGUUAGUGCAGAUGAAAUCUUCAAUAGUAUAGAGAGCAAGGAGGUUCUCGCAAUCCUAAAAUUUUGAUUGAUGUAUAUAUACAACCACUGAUUGACGAGUUGAACAUACUAUGGCAUGAAAGUGCGGAAACAUAUGAUGUAUCAACCAAACAAAACUUUAGAUUGUGUGCUGCUUUGAUAUGGACUAUUAAUGAUUUUCCUGCUUAUGGAAUGUUGUCUGGGUGGUCGACUGCGGGCAAGCUAACUUGCCCUUAUUGUAUGGAAGACACAAAAGCGUUUACUUUGAAACAUGGAGGUAAGAACUCGUGGUUCAACUGUCACCGUCAAUCUUUGCCAAUGAAACAUGAGAUUAGAAGAAAUACUAGUGCAUUUAUGAAGAACCAAACUGAUUUUGAAGGGCCACCACCAAUCCUGUCACGAGAAGAAAUUUGGGCUAGGGUCAGAAAUUUGCCUAAGGUGAUAAGGUCUCCACCGUCUAGGAUACCUGUUUAUGGUGUUACACAUAAUUGGAAAAAAUAAAGCAUAUUCUGGGAGUUUAAUCUUAUUGGAAGCAUAAUCUUAUGCUGCAUAAUCUGGAUGUAUGCAUGCAUGCUGAGAAAAACUUUUUUGACAAUUUGUUUAAUACUGUGAUGGAUAUCACUAACAAGACAGAGGAUAAUUUAAAGGUCAGGAUGGACUUAAAAGUAAUAUUGCUGACGAAGUGAAUUGUACCUGACAGACUUUAAUGACAAGAUUCAAAAGUCCAAAGCAAGUUAUACAUUUACUUUGAAUGAGAGGAGAGAUUUGUGAUUGGGUUAAGAAUUUAAGGAUGCUAGAUUGUUAUGAGUCAAACUUAUCAAGGUGUGUUGAUAUGAAAGAAGGGAAGUUGAUAUCUAUGAAGAGUCACGACUAUCUCAUUUUUAUGGAAUCUUUGUUGCCUAUUACCUUUUAGGCAUUGCCCGACAGAAUAUUCGACAGAAUAUGGAAGCCCAUAACAAAGAUAAGCUUAUUUCUUAUGAGAUUUUUGUUAUUAACACAUUGAGGGAGGAGAGCCUAGCGUUGGUGGAUAUCAAUAGUCGAUUAACCUUAAACAAGCUGACAAAUAUUUUUCCUCCUAAAUUUUUUGAUGUUAUGGAGUAUCUUCUAAUUCACCUUGUGUGAGAGGCGCAACUUGGAGGGCUUGCAGUAUAGAUGGAUGUAUCCCUAUGAGAGGUAAUGACUUUUAAUCACUUACCAUUUAUGUUGGUUAAUUAAAAAUUUUAUCAACUAAAGAUCAUACAAUGCAGGAAUAUUGGCAAGAGUAAGCGAACAGUGAAAAAUAGAUAUCGAAUUGAGGGAUCGAUAUGUUAGGCUUAUUUGGCUAGACAAAUCUCUCAUUUUUGUUCUUAUUAUUUCAAAAAUGCCGUGUUGUGUUUGAGAAAUCGACCUAAUCGACAUGAUGAUUGAGGCAAUACUGAUCCUUCGACACCACCUUUUAAUAUAUUUAAUUAACCCGGUAAAGGAGGUUCAAAACUUUGUCCUAAUCGAUAUUUGAAUGUGAUGGAGCUUAAAUUAGCUACAACACAUGUAUUAUUAAAUUUCUCCCAGGUCCAACCUUUGUAUAAGUGAGUAUAUUUUUGUUAGCGAGAAGCAUAUAAGAUCCAUCUUGGCUUUAACUAAUGAAAGUUGUAACUUUGUCAGACAAUUACUUACUAGCUAUGCAUGGGGUUGUUGUUGCUUAUCCUAUGUUUUCAGAGUGGUUUAGAGAAUAUGUACGUAGUACUUAAUAUUUAACUUGAUUUACAAUUGUGUCUAAUAAUACAUAUUUUUAAAUUCUAAUUUUUCUAUAACUUUAUAUAGGUUCAUAAUCCAAAUAAUUAUGAUGAAAAUGACCAAUUUUUAUGUGAUAUAGCUUGGGGGCCUGAUCGUAAUGUCAGAACAUAUUCUAAUUACUUCAUCAAUGGGUACAAAUUUCAUACAAAAGAGUGGUCUAAGGGAAAGAAAACUAAUAAUAGUGGGGUGUGGGUGAAAGGUGAUGGUGAUAUUGAUUAUUAUGAUGUUCUUCAAGAGAUUUUAGAACUCGAGUAUCCUGUUGGUUGGCCGAAGAAAAGUUUGGUGCUCUUUCGUUGUAAGUGGUAUAAUCCAACACCUAGUUCAGGUACAAAGUUGCACCCGUAGUACAAAAUAGUUGAAAUUAAGCAUAUACGGGGGCAUGGACUCUAUGAUUCUCUUUGCAAGAAUAAGUCUGCAUGGUGGGUAGUUUUAAAACAAAGCUCGUGGGUAGAGUUGAAGUAGAGGAUAUGUUAGAUGUAGCAUACAAGAAUGACAUUUCAAGUGUUGAACAAAGGAUGAAUGAUGAAUUAGCGGGUGAAUUGCAGCAUAGCGAAGGCCUCUAUGAAGAAUUUGAUCCUUCUGAACUUAGACUAAAUUUUGGUGAUUAUGGGCGAGGAACAUCCAGGGAAAAUGGGUAGGAAAACCCAUAUGAUGAAAAUGAAUCGGGCGAGGAAGAGUUUCUCGAUGAAAAUGAAACAAGCGAAGAAGAGUUUCUCGAUAAAAAUGAAAUAACCGACGAGGAAGAAUUGAUGAGUGACUAUGAAUCAAAUGAAGAUGAUAGAAUUGUUGUUUGCCUUUUGAGUUAUCGUUGCUUUUCUGUCGAACCUUAUUAUCUGUUCACCUUUUUAGUUACUAUUAGUAAAUUAAAUAAGCAUAUUUUGGUUAUCUAGAGGAAGAUGAGUUAAAUUGGACAAUUGUUUGAAAAUUCUUGUCUCUGCCUAGCGUGCCUGAGAUUUUUGACUGUAAUUUUUGUUUCCUUUAGCAUAUAACAUUGGUGGCAUCCAAUUUAGAUAAGGAUGCAUCAGCAUGCCCACCAGUCUUUAGAAGCUCUCUGUUGAGCUAUGUAUUGUAGAUCAUGUAGUAGGUUCCAAUGAUGUGUAAUAUUUUCAUACACGGAUUUUUUGCUCUUAUUUGAGCUUUGUAAAGAUCUUGUACCACGUCUGUUGAGCAGUUUGGCCUGUAGAUAUUGGUAUGGUAGGUUUGUACAUGGUAAUGCUAGUCCAUGUUACUUAUAGGUGCAUCUCCUACCCAAGAUACUAUAAAUCCUCCUCUUCCUCCUAAGUCAACUGUUUCAUUGCUAAAUGUACUUUUCAAAGUACCACUGCCCGACCAGUUUAUAUCUAUUCUUUCCUUGAGAAACUGGUUGGCUCUACAUUUAAUUUUAUGCCCACACCUAAUGUGGGUUCCUCCUCGGGGUUUCACAUUAAUCAACCUGGUAGAUCUUCCUAUGUGCCUACUGCUGCAUCUCCCACAUCAUCUCCAGCUUCAUCUAAUCCUAGCAUAUCUGAUUUGAGAAUUAGAGUUUCUGGAACACCAAUAGCAACAUCCAUCGAUAGUGCUAUACGACCUACUUCACAGAAUCAGAAUGUUGAUGAGAUAUUAGAGUUUGACCGAAAUGGAAGGCUGAUUAUCGCCCCUGAUCAUAGUGAAGGGUAUGGUUCAUUCCCUCAAAGGCCGCUGGAAAGAAUAUUAUAGCAUAAAUUAAACCAUUUUACUGUGCUCCUUGGAAUACAUGGAAGGAAAUUCCAUAUGAUAUCAGGGACUUAAUUUGGGCUCAGUUUCAGAAAAAUGUUCAUGGGAGCCUUGUCAUGAAAAUGAAACAAAUGAUAUUUUUGAGAAGAAAGCAGCGAAGCAGAUUACAGAACACUUGUUUAAGGCUCGGGACAAAAGAAAGCAACCUGGAUGGAUAUCAAAUGCAGUGUGGAGUUAAUUUUUGGUCAUAUGGGAUAGUGAAGAAUUUAAGAAAAAGAGUAGAUGAGCAAAGGCAAAUCGAGCCUCUAAAGGGGUGGCUCGUUGCACACUGGAGGUUUCAUGAGUUUCGCCGCCCACCAAAGAAAACUGAAAAAAUUAAAAGGGAGAGCAGAUGUCACUCCUGCUGAAGUCUUCGCAGAGACGCAUAAAAAGGAGGAGGAGGACGGUACAAGAGAAGGUUGGAUCAAGACGCGUGCUAAGGAAACAUAUGAAGAAUUUCAAAAAAGUUUGAAAAAUUGGUGUCAGACCCAGCCAACUUCAGUGGAUGGUACCGCAGUCCAACCAUUGCUCACACAGAUGAAUUCAAUAUGGACAGAGGUGGCGGGUGGUCCUAACAAAGGUAGAGUCUACGGACUUGGAGUUAUACGUUCUUCAAGUAGGCCUUCACCAUUGUUGUCCAGCGCUUCUACUUCACAAAAUUCGGAAGAAAUGGAAGAGAUGCGAAAGGAAAUAGCAGAGCUAAAGAUAAGGUGUAAAACUUCUGAUGAUAGGGUUGCUAAAUUUGAGAAGCUUAUAAUGAAGUACAUGCCUCAAGCACGUGAUGAUGAAGAUGACACUGAAUCUGAUGAGGAUUAGACCGCAGUUGUUGAUUGUGAAAUUCAGAUUUGAAGUUGAUCUUGGUUAAUAGUUUGGGAUGUCUAAGCUAUUUCUUAAUGAUGUUUGGCUAGGAUGUUUUAAAUAAUUUGAUGUUUUUGACCAUUUCUUUUAAUUACGUUUGUCUAGGAUGCUUUCAGCUAUCUUGAUGAUCUAUUUUGUUUUAACAAUUCCGUUAUGUUUUAUAGUCGUUUGAAAAAUUUAAUCCAAAUUUAAUUGUUUGAUUCUA